AUACUCACCUGGCAGGGAAGAUACCAUGAUGAUGAAGGUGGUGUUCCCAGGAUGAGGUUUAUCUAUUGCACUCCAGAUGUGCUGACCCCUGCAAUUUCCCCAAAUAUGAGAAACUCGACUGCAUAAUUUGUGGUAGUGGGGGACUGUGUUCUCGCUUUCUCCUG
rnacentral:snRNA from 1 species